AAUAAACAUAGUCCAGUUGCCUUUUGAAAAAAAAGAAAGAAAGAAAAAUUACCCUUGAGACAACUCUGACCCAGAUGUCAGAGAAUCCAUAGACAUUCUUCUCUUUGUUUAUCUUCACAUGAGGAGCAUGACAAGAUGGAUCACUAAAAUGAAAGCAGCCAAAACUUGCUGGUUACAAGUCUUCACUGCUUCCAAGGCUGUCCAGAAGGAUGGGAACUUUGUGUUCUCCAAGGAUUUUGAACGGCAAACAGCUGAAAUUCCUGUCAGCAUGGCAGUGAUCAAGGAUUAUGAAAUGGUGUAAUGUUUGGAGAAUGCUAUGUGGCCACCUACUUCCAAGCUUUCCAGCUACUUUAACAACUUUAUUAUACUUUUACUGAAUGAAUCAAUGGCUUGAAAAGACUUGUGAAAGAAACCUACUUAUUUCCCAAGUUCAGUUUUUUAGAUUUAUUCUUACAUUUCCCUUUAAUGCAUGCCCACGUAAGCCUUCAAGUUGAUGUAGACUCCUAAUGAUAGCUUGGAUAAGUCUGCAGUUUUAUUGGCAAAAUUUUUAGAAUUGGCUUGCUAUCCUAGGGUUGAGAGGGAGUAACUGGUUCAAGAUCACCCAAUUGGCUUUAUGCCUAAGGCAGAGCUAGAACUCACAGUCUCUUCUUUUCUAGCUUAGUGCUUUUAAACACUAGAUCAAAGUGACAUUUCCCUAAUCAUGCAUAAACUUACCCUGGUAAAAAGUCCUUCCUUCCUUCCUUCCUUCCUUCCUUCCUUCCUUCCUUCCUUCCUCCCUUCCUUCUCCACCAUCCUUCCCUUCUGCCUCUGUAGCUAUAGGUGGCUAUAAAGUCAAAAGAAUUAUCCAGGCGCGACUAUACCAGGGGUAGCAAUCUUGGAUCUUUUAUGACUCGUGGCUUCAACUUCCAGAAUUCCUACCCCUGGACUAUACAUUUCAUACUGUGAAGAAAGAUAAAAUUGAUUGGUAAUCUGACAGAUUAGUUGUUUCUUUUAAUAAAUUGUAGAAAAAAAUGACUUUCUUAAUCCUGGGCAUAUCUGAACUGCACUUUUAUACUGCUCCUGUCCUGUAGUCACACUAGCCUCAUUUUAAUAUAGGUUUAAGGUAUUUUAUAUAGUUUACUAAUACUUUUGCUGUAUCUUGCAAGGUAUUCAGUUUAAACAGCAGAUUACCAAGUCCCCCAUUGAGUAAUGUUUCGGCUGCUCUGCCUUCCAACUUUCCAUGUCAGGAAGGUUAUAGCUCAGGGUUUUCCUUCCUGCGAGUUGGUCUUUCUGGACAUAUAUACUUGUUUAUGUAUUCAAAGUCCAGCAGACUUUUUUAAUUACUAUGUUUAAUUUUCUCACUAUUUAUCACUUGGCUUAAAAAAGGAAGUCCAGUGGUGUAUUGUUUCAA